rnacentral:lncRNA from 1 species
AGAAGGUUUGGAGUCUCUUUCUUCAGUCUAUACAAUAGACACUAGGGAUAAACUUACAUCUCAAAGAACUGGAGGCGAUGGAGUCCAAGUCUGAUUUAAGGUUAUCUGGAUUAAGCAGUCAAAUAAGGUCUGCUGGUGACAAAAAUAUAAUUUUUAAAAUUAGUUACAAUUUUAGAGAAUAUGUAAGUUUAUGUACUAUUUUCUUUUAUGUAUUUUAAUUGCAUUGUUAUUUUUAGAAGUAUCACAUUGGACUUGUACUCCUUGAGACAUUGCAGACUUCUGUUAAGAAUCACAGUCAUAGGAGAAAAGGGCUAUGUUUUGAUGACAGAAAACGAUAUAUAAAGAUACUGUAUAUGUUUAAUGGUAAAUUUAGAUUAUCUUUCCAAAAGAUGGAUGUAAAUCCAAAUUUGAACUUCUGUGUCCACCAUCAAAACACCGGGUAAAAUAACACAAGAGAAUUCAAGCUUUUUUUCCAGUCAGGCAAUCUGUCAUCACUGUAAGCACUGCUAUCUGCUCUGCAGAUUUCCACUGCCAGUCCUGCGCUCAGUGGCCAUCUGCCAGUCCUCUCUAAUUGCUAUCCAGCUUAUACCACUAGUCACUCACUCCUCUUUCAGGUCUGCAGGAUCCUACUUUGUGAAGUCAUCUAGUUCUCUACCUAUAAUCAUCACUCUGAAGGAUAUCCCACAAUCUUCUUCCUCAAAUGAUGUGCCCUUCUGCAAGAUAUUACCCUACAGAUUGAAGAAAGUACGUGGAAGUUUAUUGGUAGCAAGGUACUACAACAAUUAA